GUGAAACCCACGGACCUGACCAUCUGACACUUGGGCUUCGUUCAUGUGUGAAGUUCUCCACGAGGGAUCGAGGAUCUCUCCAUAUGCACCACCAGCCUCCUGAGCAUGCUCCAGGCCAUCACUGUCAGCCCCAGCACCUCCUGGUUGGCCAGAUUUAAACGCGUGUCUCUUCUAUAGGAAUCAUGCUGCUCUCAAGUGCUUACGUGGUGAUCCUCCUGCUCAGGGAGCAGAGACGAUCCCAGCACCUUCACAGCGCCAGACUCUCUUCUAAUGCCUC